rnacentral:rRNA from 1 species
GACCCGUGAUCCGGGUUGCGGACAGUGUCUGGUGGGUAGUUUGACUGGGGCGGUCUCCUCCUAAAGAGUAACGGAGGAGCACGAAGGUUGGCUAAUCCUGGUCGGACAUCAGGAGGUUAGUGCAAUGGCAUAAGCCAGCUUGACUGCGAGCGUGACGGCGCGAGCAGGUGCGAAAGCAGGUCAUAGUGAUCCGGUGGUUCUGAAUGGAAGGGCCAUCGCUCAACGGAUAAAAGGUACUCCGGGGAUAACAGGCUGAUACCGCCCAAGAGUUCAUAUCGACGGCGGUGUUUGGCACCUCGAUGUCGGCUCAUCACAUCCUGGGGCUGAAGUAGGUCCCAAGGGUAUGGCUGUUCGCCAUUUAAAGUGGUACGCGAGCUGGGUUUAGAACGUCGUGAGACAGUUCGGUCCCUAUCUGCCGUGGGCGCUGGAGAACUGAGGGGGGCUGCUCCUAGUACGAGAGGACCGGAGUGGACG